GAGGAAUAUUGGUCAAUGGGCGACAGCCUGAACCAGCCAUCCCGCGUGAAGGAAGACUGCCCUAUGGGUUGUAAACUUCUUUUCCGGAGGAAUAAAAUCCCGAACGUGUUCGGGACUGAAGGUACUCCGGGAAUAAGCAUCGGCUAACUCCGUGCCAGCAGCCGCGGUAAUACGGAGGAUGCGAGCGUUAUCCGGAUUUAUUGGGUUUAAAGGGUGCGUAGGCGGAUUAAUAAGUCAGUGGUGAAAACCUUCAGCUUAACUGGAGACUUGCCAUUGAUACUGUUAGUCUUGAGUACGGUCAAGGUAGGCGGAAUGUGUAAUGUAGCGGUGAAAUGCUUAGAUAUUACACAGAACACCGAUUGCGAAGGCAGCUUACUGGGCCGUUACUGACGCUGAUGCACGAAAGCGUGGGGAGCGAAC
rnacentral:rRNA from 1 species